rnacentral:ribozyme from 13 species
AGGAGAGAAAGAAGAAACAACAAAGAAGAGAAAGGGAGGAAGAAGAGAAAGAGGGACAAAACAAGAAGAUCUAAUGUUGUUUGUUGUUUUUUGUUUGUUGUUUUGUUGUUUGUUUG